GAUUCUCGUGCCUAGGCCUCCCGAGUAGCUGGGAUUACAGGCACCUGAGAAUGAAUAGAGCUCCUCUGCUCUCUCGUUAGCCCCAUCCCAAAGGCUGAGCCUCUACUGUUUGGGAACUAUCAAGAGAAGACACAGCUAUCAAGCCAGGAGUUUCAGAGCCCACUUCCUGAGAGCUCACUGGACAAAGGCUCCAUGCCCACUCCAAGGGUUGGCCCUGGUCAGCCCUCUCUUCUGUUUGGGCUCUCUCAACUCAGUAACCCCACAGGAGGUGGUGUCCUCAGAGGCCCAGGGAGUG